CACGUAGGGGGCGAGCGUUGUCCGGAUUUAUUGGGCGUAAAGAGCUCGUAGGCGGUUUCGUUAGUCGGGUGUGAAAACUCUAGGCUCAACCUGGAGACGCCACCCGAUACUGCGAUGACUAGAGUCCGGUAGGGGAGUGUGGAAUUCCUGGUGUAGCGGUGAAAUGCGCAGAUAUCAGGAGGAACACCAACGGCGAAGGCAGCACUCUGGGCCGGAACUGACGCUGAGACGCGAAAGCGUGGGGAGCGAACAGG
rnacentral:rRNA from 1 species